rnacentral:rRNA from 1 species
CGGAACGGGUGAGUAAUGCGUGACCAACCUGCCCCAUGCUCCAGAAUAGCUCUUGGAAACGGGUGGUAAUGCUGGAUGCUCCAACUUGACGCAUGUCUUGUUGGGAAAGUGUUUAGUGGCAUGGGAUGGGGUCGCGUCCUAUCAGCUUGUAGGCGGGGUAAUGGCCCACCUAGGCUUCGACGGGUAGCCGGCCUGAGAGGGCGGACGGCCACAUUGGGACUGAGAUACGGCCCAGACUCCUACGGGAGGCAGCAGU